rnacentral:rRNA from 1 species
CCUACGGGAGGCAGCAGUGAGGAAUAUUGGUCAAUGGGCGUAAGCCUGAACCAGCCAAGUCGCGUGCGGGAUGACGGUUCUAUGGGUCGUAAACCUCUUUUGUAAGGGAAUAAAGUGCGGGACGUGUAUCGUUUUGAAUGUACCUUAUGAAUAAGGAUCGGCUAACUCCGUGCCAGCAGCCGCGGUAAUACGGAGGAUCCGAGCGUUAUCCGGAUUUAUUGGGUUUAAAGGGUGCGUAGGCGGCCGUUUAAGUAAGCGGUGAAAGUCUGUGGCUCAACCAUAGAAUUGCCGUUGAAACUGGUAGGCUUGAGUGUGUUUGAGGCAGGCGGAAUGCGUGGUGUAGCGGUGAAAUGCUUAGAUAUCAUGCAGAACCCCGAUUGCGAAGGCAGCCUGCCAAGCCAUGACUGACGCUGAUGCACGAAAGCGUGGGGAUCAAACAGGAUUAGAUGCCCGGGUAGUC